AUCACUUCUCGGCCUUUUGGCUAAGAUCAAGUGUAGUACAACAUCUUGGUGUCCCUGAGGGAAUAGUGGACUUAAUUAAGAACAUUUAUACUAAUGCAUCAACUGAAGUUAACACUCCAU